GUGCUCGCUUCAGUAGCACUUAUACCAAAAUUGGAACAAUACGGAGAUACAUGGCCCCUGCACAAGGAUAUGCAAAUUCGUGAAGCGUUCCAUAUUUUU
rnacentral:snRNA from 1 species